UCCUCUGGGAAAGCUUUUGCGGUAUGGGAUGGGGUCGCGUCCUAUCAGCUUGAUGGCGGGGUAACGGCCCACCAUGGCUUCGACGGGUAGCCGGCCUGAGAGGGCGACCGGCCACAUUGGGACUGAGAUACGGCCCAGACUCCUACGGGAGGCAGCAGUGGGGAAUAUUGCACAAUGGGCGCAAGCCUGAUGCAGCGACGCCGCGUGCGGGAUGACGGCCUUCGGGUUGUAAACCGCUUUUGACUGGGAGCAAGCCCUUCGGGGUGAGUGUACCUUUCGAAUAAGCACCGGCUAACUACGUGCCAGCAGCCGCGGUAAUACGUAGGGUGCAAGCGUUAUCCGGAAUUAUUGGGCGUAAAGGGCUCGUAGGCGGUUCGUCGCGUCCGGUGUGAAAGUCCAUCGCUUAACGGUGGAUCCGCGCCGGGUACGGGCGGGCUUGAGUGCGGUAGGGGAGACUGGAAUUCCCGGUGUAACGGUGGAAUGUGUAGAUAUCGGAAA
rnacentral:rRNA from 1 species